GACGAACGCUGGCGGCGUGCUUAACACAUGCAAGUCGAACGGAAAGGCCCUGCUUUUGUGGGGUGCUCGAGUGGCGAACGGGUGAGUAACACGUGAGUAACCUGCCCUUGACUUUGGGAUAACUUCAGGGAACUGGGGCUAAUACCGGAUAGGAGCUCCUGCUGCAUGGUGGGGGUUGGAAAGUUUCGGCGGUUGGGGAUGGACUCGCGGCUUAUCAGCUUGUUGGUGGGGUAGUGGCUUACCAAGGCUUUGACGGGUAGCCGGCCUGAGAGGGUGACCGGCCACAUUGGGACUGAGAUACGGCCCAGACUCCUACGGGAGACAGCAGUGGGGAAUAUUGCACAAUGGGCGGAAGCCUGAUGCAGCAACGCCGCGUGCGGGAUGUCGGCCUUCGGGUUGUAAACCGCUUUCGCCUGUGACGAAGCGUGAGUGACGGUAAUGGGUAAAGAAGCACCGGCUAACUACGUG
rnacentral:rRNA from 1 species